GAGAAAUCAGAUCAUAAAUAAGUGAAGUUAGUGUUACGGUUUGGACGACAUCGAUGGCGUCUCCGGCAGAGCUGAGGAAGAUCGGCGUUGAAGGGUUCGGUCUGAUAGACAAGUACUUCGGUCCACAGAGACGGGGCGGCGUGGUGGUUAACGGUGGAAUGGACGAACCGCCCGUGAACCGUAAAGAUGCACCAUACGGGAUCGUGGUCGUCAGCUGCACUGCCAACAAGGCUUCAAAAACCCAUCAGACUCGUUGGGGCAGAUCCCUUAAAUCUUAAUUAAACCCUCCAGCACGUAGGUUUACACCUUAUCGAUCAUCUUCUAAUAUCAUAUGUAUGAUAUGUGUGUGUAUUUGUGUAGCGAGAAAAAGCAGCUCGGAGACCUGCAAAUAUAUGCGAAGAUCUUCUGAAGCUUAGGACUGAUGGAUCUCAUGUAUAUUGAUAUAUCUGUACUUAUAACUUGGAGUGCAAGUUAUAUAUGAAAAGUUCCCUUCAUUUACCAAUUAAUUAACCACUUGCUCUCUCUACAAACACACACAAAGACUAUAUAUCUCUCUUGUGUGUUUAAUUAGUAAUCCUUGAAAUCAAGCUCGCAUCCCUAAUCUAUUUUCAUUUUGUUGAAGAACGUGCAAGUUUUUGCGUAUUGUGGGUUUGGUAGUUUUCAAUACAUUCGAUCCAUACUUAAACUGAGAACAGAUCGGCGAGAUGAAGGAGACGGUUGCAAGAGGGAGAACGCAUUAUACACACAUUGUUUAUUCAUAUAAACACAUAAAUAUAUGUUUAUUCAUAUGCACACAAUUUUUUCAAGAAAAUUUUUGGCCAUCUAUAUAUCACUCUCACGAAUUCAAUCUUGGAUUGGAUCCAUCCAAUACAACAGCCAUCUUUGUAACCCCUGCUCCAAAUCAAGAAUUAUUGCCAUCCAACUUAAGUUCUCAAACAGCAAAAUCAAAUUGUAACCUCGCCGCCGGCAGGUCUGCCACUCCAUCGGUCACCGAUCGUUCCAGGCCAGUCACAUCGACUACGAUAUUCCGCCGCUUCCCUCGCAAGGAGAGCCUCUCGUAGGUUGGCCCACAAGAAGAUGCUAGUGAGAGGAAUCAACCAUGUGGGUGCCUAUAAAGGGUGCCCUGGAGCUUGUUCCUCCUUAAAAACAAAGGAACAUAUCAUCAUAGGAGAGUUGUGAACAAAUCAUCAUCAUCAUCAUCAGUUUGAUAUGGCAUCACCAGCAGAGCUGAGAAAGAUCGGGCUUGAAGGGUUCGCGCUGAUAGACAAGUACUAUGGUCCACAGAGAAGGAGCAACGUCGUCGUUUAUGCAGACAUGAUCAACACUAAAGAUUCUGCACCUCCCAAGCCCCCAAACCUCCAGUUCCAUCCACUCGCUGGGGUAGAUUCCUUAAAUCUUAUUAAACCCUCCAACACCUUAAAUCUUAUUAAACCCUCCAACACAUACAUUUUGCUCUGUGCUCCAUCAUCUGUUUAUAUUUAUGUAUGUAGCAAGAAAAAGGAGCUCAGAGACCUGCUGCAAAUAUAUAUGUGUGCGUGUGUGAAGGUCUUCUGAUGAAGACCCUGUCUCGAGUAUUAUAUCUGUGUCUGUCUGCUGUAUUGCUUCAUCUGUUUAGUUGAUGUUAUGCGUGUGUGUGUGUGUGUGUGUGUGUGUGUGUAAAUAUAUCUGUGGUGUUCCGCGCUGGGCGCGGCUCUCACUUAUAUUUGGAUUGGUGCCUUGAUUA